rnacentral:lncRNA from 1 species
UUAGCCUUUCCUUUGGACAAAUAAAAGUGCGGUGGCGACUCGAAUUGUAUGUUUACUUUUGGUUUAGUCAAUAAACCUAAAGUUAACGAAAACCCCUCUAUAGAAAAGUGGCGACUCUGCUGGGGAAUACACUAUUCUCUAGUGGGUUUAGCCUACUUUUUGCUUAUUUGUGUUGUAUGAAUUGCUUGAUAUAUUAAUUGCUUGUAUGCUUGGUGGUUUCUUGUGAGAUGAGUUCUCUACCCGAACUCGAGUGCACUUAUG